GAAAGCACUCAUGUUUGAGUCAGGAAACUUGGGUUCUGGACUUGGACUUUGGGCUUCUCUUUAUUUUUCUCUGAGCCAUUUAUUCUUGUCCAAAGUGAGGAGUUGGCCCAAAACACUUCUAUGUGCCGAUUUCCCUCUAAAAGCCUGUGAUUACUGAUUAUGACCACUGCAGGGACAGUUUUUCAAAACUGUGUCCAACGAUUACAUUUAUAUUGAUUCUGUGUCCGUUGGAGUCUCGUCCUGAGACACAGGUGAAGCAGGACGCAGGGCAGUGAUAAUGACCAGCAGACACACAGGGUCACUCGGGUUACCCAGAGCUCAGUGCAGAGGUCAGCUCCGUCCUCUCAUGUUGCCACUCAGGACCAUUUGUCAGUGACUGAUUGCUGUUUUCACAUCCCAGGAUUAUCACCUGCUCUCUUUUCUACCUAAAAUGUCUACACCAUCGCUCUUCUCCAACUUUUCCUUUCUGGUCCUAUCAGAGAAGGGAGCAGAAUUCCAUGGCAGAGACCAUGGGCUUAGAAAUUGAGCUUCACAAGUUUAAGUCCUGCUUAUAUCCCUUACUUGCUGUGAGCACCUCAUUUCCCUCUGUGAGCUUCCAGUUUCCACAUCUGUAGAAUGGCCACAGUGUCGGUACCUGCUUCAGAUAAUUGUGGUGGGUUGGGAAGAUGAUAAUUCACAGUGCCCAGAAGAUAGUAAAUAUAGUAAGUGAAUUAUUUUCUCCUCCUCCCUGUGUUCUCCCUGCUACCCCUUGUUAUCUUUCAUCUCUCAAAGUGGAGCUAAGGGAUCAUACACUUCAGAAAAAUAUCUCCUGCCCUUGUCCCUUCCCAGAGAAUCAUGUCUGUAAUUUUAUCUUGCCUUAGUGUAUUCUUCCCUAUGCUGUCGUCUCACCCCAUCUCUGCAAGAGACAUCUAGAGGCCAAUCAUUAUAGACACUUCAUUAAUGUGUCCCAAGCAAACGGCAUACAGCAGGUAUUCAAUAAAUUUCUGCUAGCCUUUACUGCCAAAGGGCAUGUUGAAAGGAAGAAUGCUGGAAGAGGUAAGGAAGACAGAGGAACAGAAGAAGGAAAAAUCCCAUAUGUCAUGCCAGCUCCUCAAAAAAGAUAUUAUUUUAGAAUGUAAAGGAAAAAUAGAGUUAAAGAAGAAACCAUUAAGUGGCCCAAAUUGCAUUACUAGUUCUCUACUCUGGGAUACACAGCCAUCGUUCAGUCUUUAGUAUAAGCAAUUCUUGAUUGACUAGAAGUGUUUAGCAAAAGAAGCAAAAUUUACCAUGUGUAUUUACAGUCUGAAUGGCUCGGCUCCUCUAGCUUUGCUUACAUCAAAGAAAGGGGGAAAAUGCACCCAGACAGUCUAAUUUCUUUAAGUCAGAUGAGUCACAGAAGCAAACAUUGGAAGAUGUGCUACAAAAUAAUCAAUCAUCAGAUAAAACUGUUUUGGAUGUAGCAGAUGUAUAAAAUAAAGUGGGACUAUUUUUUAAGCUAAAAGUUUGCAUAUUUACAGAAGAUUCUGGUAGAAUAGAGAAAUUUAGCCAGACCAUCACUUAAAAGGAGGUGUGGUUUCAAAGCAGAAAGGCAGCUGAAAAUAGCAGUCAGUUCUCUUCAUCCCUUAACUCCUACCCCUAUUCCUCAUCCUCAUGCCCAGCACCCAGUAAUGAUUUUUCAUGAUAAACACCUUUAAUUUUUAUUUUAUUAACAAUGUGGUUUCUAGAACACCUGAAUAUUGUAUUUGGCCAAUAUCUGCUUUAAAUAUCAUGUCAUAAAUAGAAAACAUCAGUAGCAGUAGGAUUAGCAGCAUGCUGAUCAGUUACUAGAAGGGAGGUGCCUCCCCACAGGUGACGGUCCGUAUCAUUACACCAAUUUUGCAAGUGGAGAAAUUCCUAUGCUAGAUGAGAAGCUGUAUGGCCACGUUCACACAUCUUAGACAUUAUGAAGUUUAGGUGUCCAGACGGAGCUUUCUCAUUUCAGUGUGCUCUGGCAUUUCCCAAAUGUAAACUGACAAGCAUCCAAUCUGAUGAAAUGAUGACAUCCCAUAAAAUAGAUGUUUAAUGUCUUAUAAUGUAUCUAUUUCCUGAAGCCAAUUGUAUGAAAAUCUAUCAAACUGCCUGUCUCCAAAUGUCCACAUGCUGGAGCAUCACCAUCUUCGCAUACACUCUUCUCCCUGCUUAAAACAAGCUUCCUCCUUCAUGUUCUGUCUAUUUCCAGUUUAUUUUUCAAAAAUGCCAUGCUCUUAGGUGAAAUACCUAAUGUAGAUGACAGGUUGAUGGGUGCAGCAAACCACCAUGGCACAUGUAUACCUAUGUAACAAACCUUCACGUUCUACACAUGUACCCCAGAAAUUAAAGUAUAAUAACAAAAAUAAAAAUUUUAAAAAAUCUAAUUUUACUUCUUUUGUACAUUAUUCAUAUAGUAACUUGUACUAAGGGAUUUAUUAAUGUAACUUCAUAUGUAUGUAUUUAGUCAUACAUGGAAAUAUAAAUACAGAUAGGCAACAGCUAAAAAAGAAAAAAACUCCAUGCUCACGUGUCCUAUCCUCCAGACAUAUUUUCCUAGCACUCCUUGUUUCUCCCUCCCCUCAUCACCAGUAGGGAAUUAGUAUCCUUGCUUUGUGUCCUGUGCACUCUGUGCCCAAUUCUGAGAGCGUACUUGACCCAUCUUCAUUUUUUUUUCUCAAAGACUCUUAUUUCUUUAAGGGUGGAAGCCAUAUUUUAUACGUCAUUAAAUCCGCAGAACCUAUCUGUGAUAGUUAAUAUUGAGUAUCAAGUUGAUUGAAUUGAAAGAAACAAAAUAUUGAUCCUGGGUGUGUCUGUGAGGGUGUUGCCAAAGAAGAUGAGCAUUUCAGUCAGUGGACUGGGAAAGGCAGACCCACCCUCAAUCUGGGUGGGCACAAUCUAAUCAGCUGCCAGUUCAGUCAGAAUAAAAGCAGGCAGAAGAAUGCGGAAAGCCUAAACUGGCUAAGUCUUCUGGCCUCCAUCUUUUCCCCAUGCUGGAUGCUUCUUGCCCUUGAACAUCAGACUCCAAGUUCUUUAGCUUUUCGACUCUUAGACUUAACACCGGUGAUUUGCCCAGGGCUCUUGGCCUUUGUCCACAAACUAAAGGCUGCACUAUCGGCUUCAUCCCUACUUUUGAGGUUUUGGGACUCGGACUUGCUUCCUGGCUCCUCAGUUUGCAGACGGCCUUUUGUGGGACUUCGUCUUGUGGUCAUGUGAGUCAAUACUCCUUAAUAAACUCUCUUUCAUAUAUACAUCACCCUAUUAGUCCUGUCGCUCUAGAGAACCCUAAUACAUUAUCACAUCCCUUAGCAAAUAGACUGUUAGUGCAUGUAAGAAUAAAAUAAGAAUAAUUGCUAACAUUUAUUUAGUGCCUACAUGGGAUAGGCAUCAUUCUAAGCAGUUUACAUGUAGACUUAUUUAAUUCUCAUAAUACACAUGUUGAAUAGAAACUAUUGGCCUGGAAUGGUGGCUCUCGCCUGUAAUACCAGCAGUUUGGGAGGCCGAGACAGGUGGAUCACCUGAGGUCAAGAAUUCAAGACCAGCCUGGCCAUGAUGGUGAAACCCCCAUCUCUACAAAAAUACAAAAAUUAGCCAGGCAUGAAGGUGGGUGCCUGUAAUCCCAGCUACUUGAGAGGCUGAGGUGGAAGAAUCAUUCGAACCCGGGAAGGGGAGGUUGCAGUGAGCCGAGAUCGCCCCACUGCACUCCAGCCUGGGUGAUAGAGAGAAACUCCAUCUGAAAAAAAAAAAAAAAGAAACUAUUGACAAGGAUCUUUUUUUUGCAGAGGAAAGAGAGAUAAAGAAAUACCUACAUAAACACAUAUACAUAUACAACUUAUAUGUAUAAACACAAAUAUACAUCAUGGAUCUAGAUACUUUAUUGAUUCAUAUACUUAAUAACUUUCAACACUAAUAAAUUGGACACUUACGUAGCUGCAUUGAUAAACACACAAUGCAGAUCAUAGGUGGCUCUAUGCUCUCUGUGCCCUGUCAUGGUCUAUGCGAGAGUUUUUAGUCCUGGUGUCAUAUUGACAUUCAAGACAUUUAAGGUCCUGGAAUGUGAGCCACAUGAUGAGAUAAUUUGAGGAUGGACAGUUUGCAGAAGAGAAUACCCUUUGUUCAAAUAUCUAAACAGCUGUCAUGAACAAGAGCGAUUAGAUUCAUUUUGCUUGACCCAGGAGGUGCAAAACUGAGACUAAUGGAUGGGAGCUUCAGGGAGGGAGAAUGUUGCUCAGCCCAAGGAAGGAUUUCUGGCAAGAAAGGUCUAUGCCGCUAGAUCUUGUGCUCCUGGGAAUAGAAAGCUUUGGCUCCCUUCCAGCAUGGAAACUCAGACUAUAUGUCCAUUUACUAGGUAGUAUCAUAUUUCACAGGAUACUUCUGCUUUGAGUAAGAGAGGGUAUUACAGGACCACCAUGAUCUCUUUUAUGUAUACAUUUUAGUGGAAAUUGUAACAAGUCUAGUUAAAAUGACAUAUGCCUUGGAAAAAAAGUUUAUUUCUACUAAUGUUAAAACUACUAUGACUAUCACUGCCAAUGCUACUAUAAUUACUAUUAAUGGUCAUAUGAUAAAUAAUGUUUGCAGGGCAGCUACUGUAUACUAGGUACAUAUUCCCUCUGCUAGUUUGCAUUUUGCAUAUACCAUGUCAUUUAACCUGCACAGCAAUUCUGAGUGGUUGGUGUCAUCGAUCUCUUUUUGCAGUUUCAGGGAACUGAGGCUCUAGGAGGUGAAGCCAUCUACUCAUGGUUAGCCAGAUAGUAACACUCAGAUCUAUGUGUGUCUGGCCACAAAAUCAGUUCUCUUUCUGUUUUACAGAGCCAUAGGAAGAGAGGGUAGGAAGAGAGGAGAGGAGAGGAGAGGAGAUGAGAGGAGAGGACAUAUAAUAGAUAAUCCUAGGCUUAAGUCAGAUUUAUUUUGGGAAAAUAUGAGACUCAGUUACUGAAAUAUUCUAAUUUUUUAUAUAUCAAGCUAUACAUUACUGAUUAUAUAGUUUGCAAUUAUUGAUGACAGAUUCACUAGUUUGAUUCUUUCUUUGUUGAUCUCAUUCUUCCUGAGGUUGUUUCAUCCUUCAUAGGAAGAGCUACUACUUCACAAUUGCAUGAGAAGAGAUCAAUUUAUAUGUAUGGCUCAUACACAUCUCAAAAGGAGAAAUCAAGAGGGACUUAGGUAUGCAAGUUUAAGUCCUGCUUAUAUCCCUUACUUGCUGUGAGCACCUCAUUUCCCUCUGUGAGCUUCCAGUUUCCACAUCUGUAGAAUGGCCACAGUGUCGGUACCUGCUUCAGAUAAUUGUGGUGGGUUGGGAAGAUGAUAAUUCACAGUGCCCAGAAGAUAGUAAAUAUAGUAAGUGAAUUAUUUUCUCCUCCUCCCUGUGUUCUCCCUGCUACCCCUUGUUAUCUUUCAUCUCUCAAAGUGGAGCUAAGGGAUCAUACACUUCAGAAAAAUAUCUCCUGCCCUUGUCCCUUCCCAGAGAAUCAUGUCUGUAAUUUUAUCUUGCCUUAGUGUAUUCUUCCCUAUGCUGUCGUCUCACCCCAUCUCUGCAAGAGACAUCUAGAGGCCAAUCAUUAUAGACACUUCAUUAAUGUGUCCCAAGCAAACGGCAUACAGCAGGUAUUCAAUAAAUUUCUGCUAGCCUUUACUGCCAAAGGGCAUGUUGAAAGGAAGAAUGCUGGAAGAGGUAAGGAAGACAGAGGAACAGAAGAAGGAAAAAUCCCAUAUGUCAUGCCAGCUCCUCAAAAAAGAUAUUAUUUUAGAAUGUAAAGGAAAAAUAGAGUUAAAGAAGAAACCAUUAAGUGGCCCAAAUUGCAUUACUAGUUCUCUACUCUGGGAUACACAGCCAUCGUUCAGUCUUUAGUAUAAGCAAUUCUUGAUUGACUAGAAGUGUUUAGCAAAAGAAGCAAAAUUUACCAUGUGUAUUUACAGUCUGAAUGGCUCGGCUCCUCUAGCUUUGCUUACAUCAAAGAAAGGGGGAAAAUGCACCCAGACAGUCUAAUUUCUUUAAGUCAGAUGAGUCACAGAAGCAAACAUUGGAAGAUGUGCUACAAAAUAAUCAAUCAUCAGAUAAAACUGUUUUGGAUGUAGCAGAUGUAUAAAAUAAAGUGGGACUAUUUUUUAAGCUAAAAGUUUGCAUAUUUACAGAAGAUUCUGGUAGAAUAGAGAAAUUUAGCCAGACCAUCACUUAAAAGGAGGUGUGGUUUCAAAGCAGAAAGGCAGCUGAAAAUAGCAGUCAGUUCUCUUCAUCCCUUAACUCCUACCCCUAUUCCUCAUCCUCAUGCCCAGCACCCAGUAAUGAUUUUUCAUGAUAAACACCUUUAAUUUUUAUUUUAUUAACAAUGUGGUUUCUAGAACACCUGAAUAUUGUAUUUGGCCAAUAUCUGCUUUAAAUAUCAUGUCAUAAAUAGAAAACAUCAGUAGCAGUAGGAUUAGCAGCAUGCUGAUCAGUUACUAGAAGGGAGGUGCCUCCCCACAGGUGACGGUCCGUAUCAUUACACCAAUUUUGCAAGUGGAGAAAUUCCUAUGCUAGAUGAGAAGCUGUAUGGCCACGUUCACACAUCUUAGACAUUAUGAAGUUUAGGUGUCCAGACGGAGCUUUCUCAUUUCAGUGUGCUCUGGCAUUUCCCAAAUGUAAACUGACAAGCAUCCAAUCUGAUGAAAUGAUGACAUCCCAUAAAAUAGAUGUUUAAUGUCUUAUAAUGUAUCUAUUUCCUGAAGCCAAUUGUAUGAAAAUCUAUCAAACUGCCUGUCUCCAAAUGUCCACAUGCUGGAGCAUCACCAUCUUCGCAUACACUCUUCUCCCUGCUUAAAACAAGCUUCCUCCUUCAUGUUCUGUCUAUUUCCAGUUUAUUUUUCAAAAAUGCCAUGCUCUUAGGUGAAAUACCUAAUGUAGAUGACAGGUUGAUGGGUGCAGCAAACCACCAUGGCACAUGUAUACCUAUGUAACAAACCUUCACGUUCUACACAUGUACCCCAGAAAUUAAAGUAUAAUAACAAAAAUAAAAAU
rnacentral:lncRNA from 1 species